rnacentral:rRNA from 1 species
CGGCGUGCUUAACACAUGCAAGUCGAACGAUGAACCGGUUUCGGCCGGGGAUUAGUGGCGAACGGGUGAGUAACACGUGGGCAAUCUGCCCUGCACUCUGGGACAAGCCCUGGAAACGGGGUCUAAUACCGGAUAUGACUACCGACCGCAUGGUCUGGUGGUGGAAAGCUCCGGCGGUGCAGGAUGAGCCCGCGGCCUAUCAGCUUGUUGGUGGGGUGAUGGCCUACCAAGGCGACGACGGGUAGCCGGCCUGAGAGGGCGACCGGCCACACUGGGACUGAGACACGGCCCAGACUCCUACGGGAGGCAGCAGUGGGGAAUAUUGCACAAUGGGCGGAAGCCUGAUGCAGCGACGCCGCGUGAGGGAUGACGGCCUUCGGGUUGUAAACCUCUUUCAGCAGGGAAGAAGCGCAAGUGACGGUACCUGCAGAAGAAGCGCCGGCUAACUACGUGCCAGCAGCCGCGGUAAUACGUAGGGCGCAAGCGUUGUCCGGAAUUAUUGGGCGUAAAGAGCUCGUAGGCGGCUUGUCGCGUCGGAUGUGAAAGCCCGGGGCUUAACCCCGGGUCUGCAUUCGAUACGGGCAGGCUAGAGUUCGGUAGGGGAGAUCGGAAUCC